UGCUCACUGGUUUUCAGCAUCGUGGGAAGGCUUCUCACUGUUAACACGGUGAAAUGAUGCCAUUUCUGAUUCGUCAUCAAUGAAUCCAUCGCAACAAUUUGCGCAUGAGGAGGAAUGAAUAGGGAAGAGGGCGAAUUGAAUUGGGGGCGUACGGAGCUUGGGCUUUAAUUGCAGGUGUAAUCAGCACUAUCGCUAUGGUUUAUGCUGCUGCCGAUGUCGUUCACUGAGGUGGGUACUGCUAAUAUGUGGACUAAACUCACUAACAAUUAUGCUGCGUUCAUUUACUCAUUGUGUUGCGUUUAUAUUUCGGAUCUGAUGCACGCUCAUUGAUGUUGUGAUGAUUAGAGGAAUUGCUUCAACAUCUGAACUUUGUAGUAGAAGGUAUGUUUGUUUAAAAGAAGAAGUGCUGACACUCUCUCUUGUACAGACAAGCAAUUUAACAUCUUUCCAAUUUUUCUUUGUGUAGGAGUUUGAUGUAUUUUUCGUUAGAGAAGCAUGAAUUAUUUUUUUGCGAGAUAGCGAGGUGUAAAAAGAACUCUUUCAAUACCCUAUUUUGAUUGAAUAACAUCGGUGCUGCGAAUAGUAGCGCAUGUGAAUGCUAUCUAACCUUGUAGAAAAAGAAAACGUCCUCGUACAGAAUGUUACUUGGAGCAGGUUUUCAGUGCGGAGUAGUCACUUUUAUCGUGCUAAUCAGAUGCAUGAUGAGGUCUCUCUAGUAGGUGAAAACAGAUUUUCAGAUUCAGUGAUGUUUAUAAAGCAGGGCAAAGCGGCUAGAUAUUCUCUGUAAGCAUAUCAUAUUGAUGCUUGCCGACGACGUAGCCUGCAACGCUUGAGAUGCGUGCCCAGCCCAAGUGUACAAUAAUGACAACCAUCGAUUCAACCUUUAUGAUAACCAUAUUUAGGUUGAUCACAAGGGCCAUGAAGUAAACGCGAAAUACUUCUGCGUGUUUGUACCAGUCGCCACGAUGAUACUAUGGCGAGGUCCAAAUGGUUGCUCAGUGGCGAAGCUUUAUGGCCCAAGAUUCGUGCCGUGGGGAGCAGUUUGAAGGAAGAGAGCUCCUGUUCUCACUACUUAAAUGCACAUAGAAACUAUCUUCAUUCCUCCCAAAACUGUUGAAAUGCCUCGCGUACUAUUAUUGGUGGAGAUUUGCCGAUGCAAGGCUAUGGAGGGUGAAGAAGGCUUUAAAUGCGUCGAAUGUGAGGAAUGGCCUCAUGCAAGGUGACAAGAAGAACACUCGUCUUCGUGGAUUUGCUUGCCGCAGCAGGCAAAGUAUCAUCCAUUACCUACCCUGGCUUAUGAAGCUUUCUUUGGUUCGUGCUUGUCGGAAGACGUUUUGGUCCACAGAUGAGCAUGCACAGUUAAUCUCUCUUCACGCAGAUCAGGUGUCAUUUAGUUUGACAAUUGAGUCACAAUCACCCAGGUAGGUAUUGAGCAAGGUGUAACUCAGGAACUGCUGGAAAUUGACACUCAAUACAGAUAGCUGUGCUGAAUGGUUUCAGUUCA